GAAUGCAUUUUUGAAUGUUUCUAUUGUGAAAUAAUGGAAUAAAUACGAAGAGUAAUUUUGACUUUUUUGUUGUAAGGGAGGUAACUCCAAGAGAAAACAUUUUUAUUCUUUGCUCUCUUUCAUGGUUGUUGUUUUCUUAAAACCUCUUCCAAUCUUACUCAUUCCAACUACACACACAGACCUUUCACAAACUUUCUCUCCUUCUUCACUUCAUCAUCUCUCGGCCUUUACUUAGAAAAUAUGUGCAGACGCGCCGAUUUGCUAUUUACAGUAGUUUUAAUUUAAUUUUGUUAAUUUUUAUAUUUUUCUUUGAUUGCAUCUCUUUAUUGAAAGUUUGACCAUCUCUUUCUUUUUCAUGUUUCUUUUUUCUCUCUCUCUCUAUCUCUCCCCUCAUUCUGAUCUGCCGCGUCUCCCUCUUCUCAUCGUCGAGCGAUCGACCAGCUGGACUUCAUCAUUACGUUGAGUCUGCUUAAUAGAACAGAGAGAGAGAGAGAGAGAGAAAGGGAGAAAGCCUGAAGUUUUUCAAUGGAGGAAAAUAUUUCUGACUGCUUCAAGACGCGUCAGAGUCCGAUUUUCGUCUUUCCUCGGGUCGUUAAAUUAGUCAGUUAUGCACCGAACUCCAUUCAACUGACUUUACAUUUAUUCCUUACGAGAAUAAAAGAAAAAAAAAAAAAAAGCAGUUCAGUUUGUGUCAAAUCUAUAUUAGUAGUCGUUAUUUGUUUUGGUGUUUAAAAGGUCUUCGAGAUUAAUAAGAAAAGCUUGAUAAAAGCAAUUAAGAACCGAUGUUUACACAUAUAUUUAUAUGUGCAUACAUUUAUAUACUUUCUCGUCCCUCAAUUCUUUCUUUCCUUUUUUCUUUCACUCACACGUUCCCUCUCUCUCUCUCUUUCUUUCUCUCUCUCUCUUUCUUUCUCUCUCUCUCUUUCUUUCUCUCUCUCUUUCUCUUUCUUUCUCUCUCUCUCUCUCUCUCAUAGGUUUCUUUAAGUUCAAAUUUAUUAAUUCGUACAUAAACAAAACGCUGUUAUUUACUCUUUUUCGCGGUAGGUGCGGAGAAGAUAGUGUCGAGGAAAUCAACUGAGCAUAUUACGGGUACUAAUCAACAGUAAGGAUAAUGUUACAGCCUAUUUAAUUACGUAAAUAUUCCACAUUAAAAUAUAAAUCCAAGACAAAAAAUAUAAUCAUGAGCGAAGAAAAAAGUAGAUACCGAAGAAAUUUAAGCACAAAAUAUAGAAGAGGGUUCAACAUUAAAUUCUUAAUGGCUUGGUAUAUUAAUUAUGACGCCGAUCUCUUGAACCUUCGAGCCAACGCGGAAAUAUCAUCGCGGUUACCCCACAAGAAAUAGGAGCUAAAUCUCUCUGAACUCACAUCUCACUUGAAGAAGAAAACACGAGAGACAAGAUAAAAAAAGAAAGACUUGGAUUAUUGUCUGCUCGAUCAAGGUUGACCAGGGGCCAAUCAAAAAAACAUGAGCCGACGAGGAAGCCUCUUCGUGGUUGUUCGAACUGCUAGACUCAGCAGCCAAAUGUUACCCUCGUAUUCCACACCCCUGCCGCCGUCUCGAUACGCUGUCAUAAUAGACACGUAAUGCAAUAUCGAAGAGACAAUGGGAUGGUUGUGAU
rnacentral:lncRNA from 1 species